UACGUAGGGACCAAGCGUUGUUCGGAUUUACUGGGCGUAAAGGGCGCGUAGGCGGCGCGGUAAGUCACUUGUGAAAUCUCUGAGCUUAACUCAGAACGGCCAAGUGAUACUGCAGUGCUAGAGUGUGGAAGGGGCAAUCGGAAUUCUUGGUGUAGCGGUGAGAUGCGUAGAUAUCAAGAGGAACACCUGAGGUGAAGACGGGUUGCUGGGCCAACACUGACGCUGAGGCGCGAAAGCCAGGGGAGCAAACGGG
rnacentral:rRNA from 1 species